rnacentral:lncRNA from 1 species
UGUGAACCCGGGAGGCGGAGCUUGCAGUGAGCCAUGAUCACGCCACUGCACUCCAGCCUGGGCGACAGAGUGAGACUCCGUCUCAAAGAAAAAAAAAAAAAAAGAAAUACAAGUAGCUGUAACGCAGGAAACAGUGCUCAAUGUAGCCUGUGAUCAAAGCCAUAGCCAUACCCAUCAUAUUUCCCCAAGAUGUGAGGACCCAGGCCUGUUACCUGGGCAACAGAGGCCGAGUGGCCUUCAGGCUCCCCAGGGCAGGGCUGUGGCCUCGAAGAGGGGAUUCCUCAAAGGGAUCUGCCAGUGAUCCCUGGGGCAGUUCCUGCUGGUGACAAUCAGAAGGCCGCUCUGUUGCCCGGGGUGUGGCCGCUUCGUGGAUGUGACUCCCUUGCGGCCGCUCCUCGGGGCUCACCUGUCUCAGCUUCUUGGCGUAGUCCUCAGCCGCCUCCUCCACAGGCAGCUCGGGGUUAAUGGUGAUCACCUGGCUUUCUGGGAUCGGCAGUCUGGAGAGAAGAUGCGUCUGCAGCCAACAGAGGGACAAUGUCACCAACAGUAACGUGACCACCUGGAUCCUCCAGGGAGUUUAUGACAGUACCGUCAUAACACUCAUUUACAGAUGGGGAGACUGAGGCAUGGGGAGGCUGGUGCAUUUGUGCAAGGUCCUUCGGUUGGUGAGUGACACUUUGGUUGGUGAGUCACCUCUGGAAUGCUGGAAGCCAGGAUCCUGAGCCCUGGGUGACGCCGCCUGUCAGGGCAGAGGAGGUUCAAGGGCAAGAGGGAGCCCUGCUGCUCUUGGGGGGCUGGACGGGAGGGUGGCCCUCCUGGGUGAAUCGGGAUCAUGGUGGUUCCUGCGGGGGCCAGCAUUCCAACAGGAGUCUUUCAAUUCCGUUGUAUUUGGGGGGUUUCCUGGCCAUAGCCUGCACCUGUCUAGCCAGCCCAUUGUCCUGUUUCAAAGCCUCCAGGGUCCCACGGCCCUUGGGAUAAAACUCAGCCCCUCACCACCCUCCAUGGAGAAGGGUAACCUUCUCCAUCCCCACCCUCCCUCCUAAGGCUGCCUGGGAAACUCAUAUACAUCCCUCAGGCCACCUCCUCCGAGCAGCCACCCCCGCCUGCACCUGCCCCACUACAGGGAGUGGGGGCCAGGCUUGCCCAGGCCCAGCACCUGUGGCUAGCGCACAGUAGAUGCCCUGGCCUGUGAAUGGUGGAGUCGUUGGCAGCAGAUUUAACUCAAAAGCACUUGGAUCAAGGAGAAAGCUGCAGCCCUAUCCCACUGAGAGGCGCCCCAGGGGCCCUGGUCUGCUCUGAGAUGGCGUCCAUGUCUCGGUGCCUCGUGUUUGUGCAGAGUCUAGCUCAGUGAGCUGAGGCAAUGCUAAGGUGAGCCACGAAGUAAACGCAGGGGCUGACUGCCCUGAAUGCUGACCUGAGGAGUAUGAGCUCCACACUGAGGGCAUUGGGGAGCCAAGGAGGGUGUGUGAGCUGGGGAGGGACACAAUCGUAUCCAUAGUUGGAAAGACCACUCUGCUUUGUCCAAGGUCCCUGUGUUAAUCUAUGCAGCCUGCUAUCACAAAACACCAUAAACUCGAGGCUUAUAAACAACAGAAAAUGGCCAGGCAUGGUGGCUCACGGCUGUAAUCCCAGCACUUUGGGAGGCUGAGGUGGGACAAUCGGUUGAGCCCAGGAGUUUGAGACCAGCCUGGGCAGCAUAGUGAAACUUCGUAUUUACCAAAAAUAAAAAAUUAGCGGCCUGGCACGGUGGCUCAUGCCUGUAAUCCCAGCACUUUGGGAGGCCAAGGCAGGCGGAUCACCUGAGGUCAGGAGUUCGAGACCAGCCUGACCAACAUGGAGAAAUCCCACCUCUACUAAAAAUAUAAAAUUAGCUGGGCGUGGUGGUGAAUGCCUGUAAUCCCAGCUACUUGGGAGGCUGAGGCAGGAGAAUCACUUGAACCCAGGAGGCGGAGGUUGUGGUGAGCUGAGAUCGCGCCAUUGCACUCCAGCCUGGGCAACAAGGGUGAAACUCCAACUCAAAAAAAAAAAUUAGCUGGGCCUGGUGGUGCACACCUGUAGUCCCAGCUACUGAGGAGGCUGAGGCAGGGGGAUUGAUAGAGCCCGGGAGCUGAAGGCUGCAGUAAGCCACGAUCAUGCCUCUGCACUCCAGCCUGGGCAACACAACAAGAUCCUAUCUCAAAAAAAGAAAGAAAAGGAAAGGAAAAGAAAAGAAAGUAUAGGAAGGGAGGAAGGAAGGAAGGGAAGGAAGGGAGGGAAGGAGGGAAGGAAGGAAGGAAAUAGGGUCUUUGCAGAUGUAAUUAGUUAAGAACAAGUCAUAGUGGAUUAGUGUGGGCCCUAAAUCCAAUGACUGGCGUCCUUAUAUAAGAUGAGAAGACACACAGAAUCCAAGAAGGCCAUGUGCAGACAGAGACAGGAAUUGGAAUGGUGUGACCCCAAGCCAAGGAACGCCCAGAGCCCCCAGAAGAUGAGGAGAAAAUGAAGGAUCCUCCCAAAGAGCUUUCAGAUGGGGCGUGACCCCACCAACACCUUGAUUUCAGACUUCUGGCCUCCAGAACGGUGAGAGAAUAAAUUCCUGUGGCUUUAAGCCGCUCAGUUUGUGGUCAUUCGUUAUGUAGCCCUAGGGAACCGAUAUGAUUCCCCUCACAGAGAACCGGCAGAAGGAGCAAGUCCUGGCUUCAGGUUUGCUCCCAUCACACGGCUUUGGCCUUAGCUGAGCCCUCUUGCCACAGCUUGACCAUGGCCAGCUCCUGCACAUGCUCCAGCUCUCAGCUCAAAUGGCACCUUCUCAGGACCUCCCACCCCAUAGCCCUUGACGAAUGCUCACUCCCUAUUCCCUAGCACUCUGCAGCAUUUCACAAUUAUUUAUUUUGAGACAGAGUCUCAACUGUCGCCCAGGCUGGAGUGCAGUGGCAUGAUCUCAGCUCACUGCAACCUCUGCCUCCCACAUUCAAGCGAUUCUCGUGCUUCAGCCUCCCCUGUAGCCGGGAUUACAGGCACACGCCACCACACCCAGCUAAUUUUUGUAUUUUUAGUAGAGAUGGGGUCUUGCCAUGUUGGCUAGGCUGGUCUCCAACACCUGACCUCAGGUGAUCCACCAUCCUUGGCCUCCCAAAGUGCUGAGAUUACAGGUAUGAGCCACCACGCCCGGCCAAAAACCUGCUUUUUUUUUUUUUUAUCUUUAAGACAGUCUCACUCUGUCGCCCAGGGUGGAGUGUAAUGGCAUGAUCUCGGUUCACUGAUCAUGCCUCACUCCUGCCUCAGCCUCCCGAGUAGCUGGGAUUACAGGUGCGCACCACCACACCUGGCUAAUUUUUGCAUUUUUAGUAGAGACAGGUUUCACCAUGUUGGUCAGGUUGGUCUCAAACUCCUGACCUCGUGAUCCGCCCGCCUCAGCCUCCCAAAGUGCUGGGAUUACAAGCGUGAGCCACCGCACCCAGCCAAUUUUUGUAUUUUUUUUUAGUAGAGACAGAGUUUUGCCAUGUUGGCCAGGCUGGUCUCGAAAUCCUGACCUCAGGUGAUCUACUCACGUCGGCCUCCCAAAGUGCUGGGAUUACACGCGUGAGCCACCGCACCCGGCCAAAACUUUUUAAUGAUGCUCUUGGAAAACACACACAGGAAGGCGGAAGUUAAAUGUGUACCCAACUACGAAGUCAGAUGAGGCAGGAUCACACCCUGGCUGCCCCUCUGGUCACUAGAUGCCUUGGGCAGGUAAGCUCACCUCUUCUGGCCUCAGUUUCUCCAUCUGUGAAAUGAGUGUAACAUCUCAUAGGCUGUGGUACGGACUCAUGAAUUGAUGCAUAUAAAGCGUUCAGUAAGCCUUUUCUCUUAAUAAAAAACCCACAAAACCAUCAUCAGCUCAAGAUUCUAUGCAAAGAGAAGACGGCACACCCAGCAUGGGGUGUCCCUUGACGCUGCCAGACUCAAGUGACUUGAGGUUCCUGGCCUUUGAGCCCGCCCCUCCCACUCUUCCCUCGGCCAGGCCAAGGCUCCUCCAAGCCUCAGUUACCCUGUCUUUAAAAGAGCGCGCUCCUCUGAUUCUAUAGAAUCCUGAGGCUCAAAGCCAAAGAUGAACAGCCUGGAAGCAGAGCCAUCAGAGCGGCAAAGCUGCCCAGGGAUCCCCGAGAACUCGCUGGGGUUAGAGAUCAGGACCCUGAGAUUCAGGCUCUACACCUGAUUCCUCGUGCCCCCGUCCGCUACGGGGCUGAGUUAUGGGCAUCGUUUGACAUGGGCCACUCGGAUUCCCUUCCAGGCCCUUGCCCGUGCCGUUCCCUCUGCCUGGCCACCGGAUGAAGCAGGAAGACGGACUGCAAGUAGACCAUUUCUAGCCCUGCCUAGAUAAAGGCAGAGGGCGCAGUGAGGUCCUGCGGGACCCACUGUAGGCGGGGUUCAGGAGGCGGGCGAGCCCUGUCGGCUAGACCCCCAGCGGCCCCCGUAGUCGAGGUGCAGGCAGUGGGCGUGACCAUCUCGGCAUGACCCCCAGUGGCCCCCGUAGCCGAGGGCAACCGGUGGGCGCGGCCCUCUUGGCAUGACCCCCAGCGACCCACGUAGCCGAGGUGCAGGCAGUGGGCACGGCCCUCUUGGCAUGAUACCCAGUGGCCCCCGUAGCCGAGGUGCAGACAGUGGGCGCGGCCCUUUCGGCAUGGCCCCCGGCGGCCUCCGUAGCCGGGGUGUAGGCGGUGGCUGUGGCCCUCUCGGCGUGAUCCCCGGCGGCCCCCGUAGCUCUCACCCGGUAGAGGCCGUACGUGCUCUCGGCGUGAUCGAAGGGCACGAGGCGCUCGUCGCAGAAGCCCAGCGUCCAGCGCGCUAAGCUAGCUGGCCCGGCAGCAUGCUGCGCGCUGGGCCACCAGCUGCGCUAGCGCCGCACCCAGCUCCUGGGAACUCGAGAACACCGAGAUGAGGCCCGGGGCCGGCGCGGCCAUGGCGAGGGCGGCGGCGGGGAGGAGGAAGCGCUCCCUACGGCCGUCGCUAGUACGCCUGCGCAAGGGCCGGCCCUGCCGCUUGGUUUCGAGUACUUUGGGUGAUUGUCUUUGGCACAUGCGCAGUGAGGCAAGUGAAGCACCGCGAAGGUCGGGCAGUCGGUCCGGCCCUACCCAUUGAAUCUUUGCCUGCUGUGCCUGAGUCGAAGUGAGUUCGGGAAGCCAGUGCCCGAAUGCUCAACCUUGCUGUAUCAGGGAGGGCCGGAGAGGGGAGCUCAAGAAGAGGACGUCCUAUCGAGGUGGCAGGGAUUUUCUGAAGGAGGGCGUAUUUUGGUGAGUUUUAAAAUUCCUGCACCGCCGGGCGCGGUGGCUGACGCCUGUAAUCCCAACACUUUGGGAGGCCGAGGCGGGCGGAUCACGAGGUCAGGAGAUCGAGACCAUCCUGGCUAACACGGUGAAACCCCGUCUCUACUGAAAACACAAAAAAUUAACCGGGCGUAGUGGCGGGCGCCUGUAGUCCCAGCUACUCGGGAGGCUGAGGCAGGAGAAUCGCUUGAACCGGGGUGGCGGAGGUUGCAGUGAGCCGAGAUCGUGCCACUGCACCCCAGCUUGGGCGACAGAGCGAGGCUCCAUCUCAAAAAAAAGUAGGGGAUGAAAAUAUGCUUGUUGAAUUUUUUUUUUUUUUUUUUUUACAUUUUCCGGACGGACGGGCUCUUGCUAUAUGGUCUAGGCUGAUCUUGAACCCCUGGGCUCAAGCGAUCUUCCUGCCUCGGCCUCCCAAAGUGGUAGCAUUCAGGCGAAAGCCACUGCGCCUGGCCAUGCUUGUUGAAUUUUUUAAGCUAACCCUCCUAGUGUGGUGGUGUGUCCCUCUGAGUGCCCAGAAAGGCCUCCAAUCGAGUUCUUGCCUGGACAGAGGGCUGGAAGGGGAAGAAGGCCUGGUGGGCCUGGGGAGGCUGGGCCACUUCUGAGAGUGGGAUAUUUCAGUGAUGUGUGUAAGCGCAGUUCAACUCACACAGGUAGUGGAUUUUAAAAUCAGUAGCAAAUUAAGAAAACAAUUCCAUUUACCAUAGCAUCAUAAAGUAUAAAGUAGGCAUAAAUUUAAUAAAAGAAGUACAAGACUGUACUUCUUGAGAGCUGUAGCUGGGCUUGGUGGCUCACAGCUGUAAUCCCAGCACGUUGGGAAGCCAAGGCUGGACCCGGUGGCAGCUGCCUGUGGUCCCAGCUACUUGGGAGGCUGUGGUGGGAGGAUCACUUGAGCCCAGGAGACUAAGGCUGCAGUGAGCUGUGUUCCUGCCAUUCCACUCCAGCCUGGGCAAUAGAGUGAGACCCUGUCUCGAAACAAGCAAAAGAACUAAAACUUUGGUGAAAAAAAAAAUUAAAGAUGAUCUAAAUAAAUGGUAAGACAUUCCACGUUCAUGGAUUGGAAAGUAUAAUAUUGUUAAGAUGGCAGUACUCCACAAAUUGGUCUACGGAUGCAAUGUAAUCCCUUUCAAAUUUACAAUGUUUUUGUUGAAAUUGACAAAUUGAUCCUAAAAUUAAUAAUAAAUUGCAAAUGGCCCCAAAAUAGCCAAAACAAUAUUGAAUAAAAUACGAGGACUCAUACUUUCUCAUUUCAAACAAUAAAAAGGUACAAUAACCAAAACUGUGGUAUUGGCAUAAGGAUAGACAUAUAAAUAAAUGAUUGGAACUGAUGCAGAAAUAAACCUAUGCAUAUAUGGUCAACUCAUCUUUGGCAACGGUGCCAGGACUAUUCAAAAAGAAAGGAGGGCUGGGCGUGGUGGCUCACGCCUGUAAUUCCAGCACUUUGAGAGGCCAAGGCAGGUGGAUCACCUGAGGUCGGGAGUUUAAGAUCAGCCUGACCAACAUGGAGAAACCCUGUCUCUACUAAAAAUACAAAGCCUUAGCUGGGCGUGGUGGCACAUGCCUGUAAUCUCAGCUACUCGGGAGUCGGAGGCAGGAGAAUGGCUUGAACCCCGGAGGUGGAGGUUGUGGUGAGCUGAGAUCACGCCAUUGCACUCCAGCCUGGGCAACGAGCAAAACUCUGUCUCAAAAAAAAAAAAAAAAAAAAAGGAAUAGGCCAGGCGUGGUGCUUCACGCCUGUAAUCCCAACACUUUGGCAGGCCAAGGUAGGCAGAUCACCUGAGGUGAGGAGUUCGAGACCGGCCUCUCAAAUGAAGUAGAAACCCCAUCUCUACUAAAAAUACAAAAAUUAGCCAGGCGUAGUAGCUCAUGCCUGUAAUCCCAGCUAUUCGGGAGUCUGAGGCAGGAGAAUGGCUUGAACCCGGGAGGCAGAGGUUGCAGUGAGCCAAGAUCGCGCCACCGCACUCCAGCCUGGGCGACAGAGCAAGACUCCCUCUUAAAUAAAUAAAUAGGCCGGGCGCGGUGCCUCACGCCUGUAAUCCCAGCACUUUGAGAGGCCGAGGCGGGUGGAUCACGAGGUCAGGAGAUCACGACCAUCCUGGCUAACACGAUGAAACCCUGUCUCUAGUAAAAAUACAAAUUAGCCAGGUGUGGUUGCAGGCGCCUGUGGUCCCAGCUACUUGGGACGCUGAGGCAGGAGAAUGGUGUGAACCUGGGAGAAGGAGCUUGCAGUGAGCCGUGAUCUCGCCACUGCACUCCAGCCUGGGCAACAGAGCUAGACUCUGUCUCAAAACAAUAAAUAAAUAAAUAAAUAAAUAAAUAAAUAAAUAAAACCCAAAAAGUCUGUUAAUUAAUAAGAAAAACUAACAGAGUUCAAGCCUAAGAGUCAUUGGGAUUAUUUUCUGGCCAACUUGGAGGGAACUUCCUAGACACUAUUGCAGCUAGAGGCUUUGGAACAAGAAAGUUCACUGGGCCACUGUCUCACCUGGAGCCCCUGGCAAUGAGUCCAUUCCCCUUCUUGUGCCUCAGUUUCUGCAUCUGUACAAUGGGGACCAUGGUGACACUUCCUGAAGUGGUUGCGAGGUUGGAGAGAGAUUAGUCAGAAUUCACUUGCCCAGCUGGGUGCCAUGGCUCACGCCUGUAAUUCCAGCACUUUGAGAGGCCAAGGUGGGUGGAUCACCUGAGGUCGGGAGUUUGAGACCAGCCUGGCCAACAUGGUGAAACCCUGUCUCUACUAAAAAUACAAAAAUGAGCUGUGUGUGGUGGCACGUGCCUGCAAUCCCAGCUACUGAGGAGGCUGAGGCAGGAGAAUUGCUUGAACCCAGGAGGCGGAGGCUGCAGUGAGUCAGAUUGUGCCACUGCACUCCAGCCUGGGCGACAGAGCAAGACUCCGUCUCAAAAAAACCAAAAAGCAAAAAACAAAACAAAAAAAUUCACUUGCUCAUCUGCACACGAGGGUCACCCCCUCAGUGUCCUCUCCCAGCAAAUGCUCUGUCACCUCCUGUCCCCUGAGGUAGAGACAACAAACAAGAUGCCAACAUUAUGACACGCGAGGGGGACAGCAGAGGUGAGAGUCAGUUGAGAGUACAGUAGUCCCUGCUUAUUCAAAGUUUCUCUUUCUGAGGUUUCCACAGUUCAAACAUAUUAAAUGGAGAAUUCCAGAAAUAAGCAAUUCAUAAGUUUCAAAUUGCGUGCUGUUCUGAGGAGCAUGAUGAAAUCUCGGACUGCCUUGCUCCAUCCCUCUCUGUCCCGCCCAGGGUCAUGAAUCACCCCUUUGUCCAGCAGAUCCAUGCUGGAGACACCACUCCCCCCAUGCCCACUCAUUUGUCACUUAGUAGCCUCCUGGUUAUGAGAUUGAAAAACCAGUAUAAACUGGGCACGGUGACUCACACCUGUAAUCCCAGCACUUUGGGAGGCCAAGGCAGGAGGAUGGCUUCAGCCCAGGAGUUCAAGACCAGCCUGGGCAAUACAGUGGGACCUCAUCUCUGCAAACAAAUCAAAAAAUUAGCUGGGCGUGAUGGUGCAUAUCUGUAGUCUCAGCCACG